rnacentral:tRNA from 1 species
UAUACGCUGGUGUAAAGGGCACGAAGAUUUUUGGUGUCUUAAGGAAUGGUGUGAUUCCAUUGUGUGUAA